rnacentral:lncRNA from 1 species
CAGCGCUCUCUGAAAGCUAGGCUAGCGGAGCUUAUAAAGAUCGGAUGGUAGAGCUUUCGCUUUCCCCUCAGACGCUCCAGAUGUAGACUAGGUGAGCUCUCUGCCCGGGAGGGACAGAUCGUCGGAGCCCGCGGGCGGAAGGCGAGUCGUGGCGGGGUUAGGGCUCUGGAGUCCGGCCCGGCCCGGCAGUCCCCUGAGCUUGAAAGAAUUGAAUGCCUCCUCAGUUGUCACCCAGGCUGAUCUUGCGCAGGCUGUUGGCUUCUCGUGGAGUUUGAGUUUUUGGACAGUGACGUAGGAUGGCUGUGUUGCCCAGACAAGAGAAGAAAAAGAAGAACCUGUUGCUUAAGUUCUGGAGACAUUUUUGUUGCUGUUGUUUACUGAGCAUGUGAAGGGAGGUCUUUCUGCCUUGCCUGUUUUAUUUUCAGGAAGCAGGGUUGGGAAUGAACCCUGGCGCUGAGACAGCCAUCCUGAAGCUAGAACAAGCCGGAAGAACAAAUAAACCCCAGUUUCUUGUAUCCUGGCUGAUGUAUUUAGUGAAUGGCCUAGGGGGCUGAACAACCUGCAUUAAAGCUUGCUGCAGAUACAUGAGACAGAGUCAACUGAGCUUGGGGCAGCUCUCCAAGACGGAUGCUGUGCCCAAUUUAAAAAGACAAAGUCAAAUAGGAUGAGGUUUGGGUUUGAACUUUUGUUUUUUUUUUCAGAUGACCUCAGUAUGUAGCCUACGACUUUUUUUAAACUGGUGUUUCUCCUGCCUGGGCCCUCUGAAUACUAGAAAUGCAGGUAUGCACCAUGGGGUUGAGGUGUUAACCAUUUCUAAAAUAAAAUAAACCUGUAAGGCUUUAAGUAACACUAAAAAUAAAAAUAAAAGGGCAUUUUGUACAGCUUUGUUUCAUGUUUCUUAUUUACUGUGCACCCACCUCCUUUGGUGAUGUCAGAAUGUCUGGUUUACCACAUCAGGAAGGCAUCCCUCUCCUCACUUGGCCCUUUUCACAGUAUUGGAGCCUAGUGAUGGUAAAAUGUUC